UCUGAGGGACCGGAGCGGGGGCUGCUCCCCCGGAGGGAGCGGACACGCGGGGCGCCCUAAAAAUAGUGCCGGCCGAGGCCGGGCUGGCCGUCACGGCGCUGCGGGGGAAAGCGCCAGGUCGUCGGCCAGCGAGUACGACGCAGAGUUGGAAUGAAGCUUCCCGAAGGCUCCAAUGGCAAGCAAGGGAUGCACGCCCUCCCGCUACCCACCAUCCCAAAACUAUGUUUGUGGGCUUCUUACUUUGUAUUUAGUGUGUUUAUUAAGGCUUUAUGUUCGCGAGAGGCUGCAUUUGCGAGGAAUGCUGUGCUGCCGAGUUGCCUGCAUUGGCGCUGCCGUCGCUGGGAAGCGCCGGUUCAGGCUUCAGCCCGCGGUCCGGCGGAGCUGCUGCUCCCGCUCGGGCGGUGCUGCGGCGGGACCCCCGCUGUCCCGGCACCCUCGGUGCCCGCCGAGGCUCUCCAGGCAUGUACCCGUCUGCUUAUUUUAAAUACACCGGUCCCCCUGGAUGUUGCAACAGCGAAGUAAACGGAGAUACAAAAAAAAAUGCGCCUAACUUGAGGAAAAACGUCAGUGUUGCACUGUCAAAGAGAGCUGAUCACUAUUCUUCAAGAACCAGUAAAAAGCAACUAAGAAACAUUAAACAUACAGAGGAAUUAGAGGCUCUAA